rnacentral:lncRNA from 1 species
CUGGACACGAGCCGCCCGGAUGCGCCCUGCCGCCGCCUCCGCGGUGACCUUGUCUCUGCGUCAGUGUCGCGGAGAAACAGCGACAGACCCGCUGGAGAUGUGACAGCAGAGGAGGGCCUUUGAUAACAAUCAAACCCCUGCCUCUGGGAGAGUCCAGCUUUCGCCCGGCUGGACGCCGGGGCUUCCAGAGGAGCGGUUCUGUCCCGUAGAGCAGUCACCUGUUGUCAACCGGGAGCCCAUUCUUGCGCGCUCGGAACAGGCGAAGUUGUAAGGCGGAGUACGCGCUCAAAAAGGCGGGGCUUUUAGCCUAAAAACAAGCCUCUUUACGUUUAGAAAAGACGAAUUUCCCACAAUGACCUACCACCCACCUCGUGGCGCUCAGGAGUGCGGCUCGCUGGAGACCGCGGUGGAGGACGCUACUUGAAAAGUUGCUGAGGAAAGAGAACAAAAGCAUUUGUCAACGUAGGGCAGGUAGCGAAGGGAAGCUUUGUGAAAUAUUAGACGCCCCAGCAGAGCGGGAGAAAAUCUUGGACUCUUCAGUGCUAGAUUUUUGCCACCCUGAACUACUUGCAGCUUUAAUUGCAUGCUAGCAGAGAUAAGAAAGUAAAAACCCGACAUGGAGUUCAAAAGGAUGCUGCUCAGACCAGGAGAGAAUGGCAUGAUUUAUUCAAAGUACUGAAAGAAAAAAACUGCCAACCAAGAAUACUUUACACAGCAAGGUGUCCUGCAGAAAUGAAGGUGAGAUAAAGACUUCUCAAACCAACAAAAGCUGAGAGAGUUUGUCACCCCUAGAUCUGCCUUAGAAGAAAUGCUGAAAUGAGUUCUUCAGGCUGAAACUAAAGGACACUAAUGGUAACAUUAAGACAUAUGAAAAUGUACAACACACUCGUGAAGAUAAGAAUAUAGUCAGAUUCAGAAUACUCUAAUAAUGUAAUAUGGUCAUGUGUUAACCUUUUAAUUCUAGUGUAAAGGUUAAAGGACAAAAGUAUUUAAAAUAGCUAUGGAAACAACAAUUUGUUAAUAGAUAUACAACAUAAAAAGAUGUAAGUUGUAACAUCAAAAACAUCAGAUGUCAGGUGGGAUAGUAAAAGUGUAGUGAUGUUGUAUGCGAUUGAAGUUAGGUCGUUAUAAGCUUAAAACUGACUGUUAAG